GACCAUCAAGGCUCUCCCAUCCCCACCUCCUCUGCCUCUCAAAGGGCCUGGAGGCACAUCCCCAAUUCCUCUGCUGGGGAGUGACAUCUGCUUGGUCCCCAUGGCAAGGCUGUGGCUCUGACCUCUGGACUCUGAUCCAGGAUCCCGGGGCGAACUGGAGGUCUGUAAGGCGGGAAUGAUCCUAACUGGGGACUGCCGGUGCCGCCCCGCAGAGAGCCCAGAGGGGUGCCUUCAGGCAGGUAGAGGAGCCUCGCCACCACCCAGCUACUUCCCUGUGCCCUGGGGUGUGUGCCAAGCAGGCCAGCCUGCUCUCAUCAGCGCUUAGCAGGUGCCAAAGGGACCCCAGGGUCAUGCCCUGGUGGCCUACGGAGCCUGAUGACCCAAGACUGGGCAGAACCCAGAAAAUGCCACGAGGACAUGGAUGGGAACUGGGGCCUGGAAAGGGUACUAACACUGGGUACCCCAGGAUGGAGUGGAGCGCUGUGAGGGGUGAGGGCCGAGUGAGAACCUGAGGGCACACUCUUGGGGGUCAGCCCUGAGGACUGUAUGUCCCCCAGACAGCCCUGGCUGGUGCUCACUGGGACUGCUACAAGUCCAGGCUGGCACAGAACCAGUCUUGGCCAUGGGGUCUGGGAGACAAGCUGGCACUGUCCAGUCUCAUCUGAUUGUCCCAGCUGUCCCAAGGUGAUGAGCAGACCAUUGUCAGAGGGGUGACUGAAGCCUGUGGAGUUGCAUCUGCCCUGGGAAGACCUGGGGUGGGGGGCUUCUUGUGACCUCCUGUUCUGCCUCCCCUGGCUGCAUCGAUGGCACCGCCAGGCUGGUCAGAACCAGACCCCCCCUCCCCACUCAUGGGGAAAAUCAGAUCCUAACACCCUUUCCACCCUGGGAUAGCAUUGACCCCCAGGAUUUGAGGGGUGCUUCUUAGGAAGAGUUUUCCUGGGACUAAGGAACAGGUUCUGGCCUGAGACGUGGGGCUAGUUUGCAGGAAGGGUGACCCAGAAGGCAUUUCUGCCCCCCCUCUGUCUCCCCAUCUGGGAAACGGAUCCAAAGGCCUCGGGUAAAAAAGAGGGUCGGGAGCCUGGAGCAGGCCAAGCGGGCUCAGCUCUCCUAAAGACCCCUCUGUGGGCUCUCAGUGCCCAGGAAGGACAAAACUCAUCUCCACCCUUGGCUUAUUUAUUUUCUACAUGUUUUGGGGACAGAGUGAGUGGCCUGGCUCACGGAGACGUGUAGGCAGAGGUGGCCGCCAGCAGUGCUAGGCCCUGUCAGGAGAGGAGGUGCCCGAGGAGCACUGCUCCCAGUGUGGCCAGAGUCCCAGCACCCAGCUGGGCUGCCUCCGCUGAGUUGCAGAGGUCGCGGAAGCAGCAGAAGACGGGGUGGGCAGCCCCGAUGCUGUCGGGGUCAGUGGCUAGGCAGGAGUCGGAGCAGGAGCGGGUCACCAUGGGGCUCUGGUCGAAGGGGUACUCUGCAGGGUGGGCAGGCGUCAGAGCCUGCACCCACUGCAGUGCCUGCCUGGCUCUGUGUGUCCCCCCUGCUGCUCCUGACCACCACCUGUGCUUCCUACCUCCUCCAACCCCACCGGCAUUCCUGUCCCAGAUCUGGGAGCCUUCCAGUCCCCAACCUCAACGGUGACAGGUUUUUCUAAUAAUAGCACUAGUGCCCGGAGCACCUGCGGUGCCCGGGCCUGAGAGGGAGCCCAGCCCUGAGG
rnacentral:lncRNA from 1 species